AUUGAACGCUGGCGGCAGGCUUAACACAUGCAAGUCGAGCGAGCGGCGGACGGGUGAGUAAUGUCUGGGAAACUGCCUGAUGGAGGGGGAUAACUACUGGAAACGGUAGCUAAUACCGCAUACCAUCAGAUGUGCCCAGAUUGGAUUAGCUAGGAGGUGGGGUAAUGGCUCACAUAGGCGACGAUCCCUAGCUGGUCUGCGAGUAUGACAGUCCACACUGGAACUGAGACACGGUCCAGAGUCCUACGGGAGGAAGCAGUGGGGAAUAGUGCACAAUGGGCGCAAGCCUGAUGCAGCCAUGCCGCGUGUGUGAAGAAGGCUGUCGGGUUGUAAAGCACUUUCAUCGAGGAGGCGUUACUCGCAGAAGAAGCACCGGCUAACUCCGUGCCAGCAGCCGCGGUAAUAC
rnacentral:rRNA from 1 species